GAGAGAGACUCCUGAGCUAGCAUGCAGGCAGCAUGCAGCCUCUCCCGCAUCUGACUUACAAAGUGUAACACAUUCUUAGGGGUACUACUAGGCGCAUUAGAUAAAACGCGCUCCUUUAACACUUUUAACGGACCCCUAGGUGUGUGUCCGAACACAAGGUCAGCAGGGCUGAACCCCAACGAUUCCUGCACUGUUUCCCUAACAGCAAACAAAACAAAGGGCACCCCCUCAUCCCAAUCAGCACCCGUUUCCAUACAAUACUUCCUCAGCAUGGUUUUGAGCGUCUGGUGCCAGCGUUCCAGAGCUCCCUGACUCUCUGGGUGGUAAGCGCUGGAGACCUGGUGCGAUAUGGACAAUGUUUUUAAUGCAGAAGAAAACAGUUUGGACAUGAAAUUAGUUCCUUGAUCCGUCUGGAUCACUCUGGGGAGACCAAAGGUGGAAAAGAACUUAAUCAGACUCUUAAUAAUUGUCUUAGCUGUAAUUAUCCGGAGAGGAAUAGCCUCCGGGUACCGAGUGGCGCUGCACAUAAUGGUAAGCAGAAACUGGUUACCUGUUCGAGUUUUUGGUAAUGGACCCACACAGUCAACAAUCACCCUCUCAAACGGUUCUCCAAUCACAGGAAUCGGGUGAAGUGGCACACGAGGAACAGGGUUAUGAGCCAGUGACAAUACUUGCUGCCGUAAUGGUGAUGGAACAACUACCUGCCAAACUGUAUCCCAGUCCUCACCUGUUUUAUGUGCAGUCCAUUUACGCAUUAGAACACCAGCGUCCACAAGCCUCUCUGAUGUGAUGGAUGACAAC
ensembl:lncRNA